rnacentral:rRNA from 1 species
UCGAGCGCCGUAGCAAUACGGAGCGGCAGACGGGAGAGUAACACGUGGGAACGUGCCCUUUGGUUCGGAACAACCCAGGGAAACUUGGGCUAAUACCGGAUAAGUCCGUAAGGAGAAAGAUUUAUCGCCAAAGGAUCGGCCCGCGUCUGAUUAGCUAGUUGGUGAGGUAACGGCUCACCAAGGCGACGAUCAGUAGCUGGUCUGAGAGGAUGAUCAGCCUCACUGGGACUGAGACACGGCCCAGACUCCUACGGGAGGCAGCAGUGGGGAAUAUUGGACAAUGGGGGAAACCCUGAUCCAGCAACGCUGCGUGAGGGAUGAAGGUCUUCGGAUCGUAAACCUCUUUUCUGGGGGACGAAUACCCGCAAGGGUUUGACGGUACUCCAGGAAUAAGCCACGGCUANAUAUGUG